ACAUUUGUACUCCCAUAAUAUUCUGAAAAAAAAAAUAUUCAAAGCAUGAGGAGCUUUGACAAGCCAUCCCUGGCUUUAACGAUAGUGAGGACCAUGUGCCAAGGAAUGCUUGUGGCCUUCAGAAGCUUAGAGUACCCCCUGGGUGACAGCUAGCAAGGAAUGAGGACCUCAGUUCUACCACUGCAAGAACUGAAUUCUGCCAACAACCUGAAUGAGUUUGGAGCAUAUUCACUCCCAGAGCUUCGCCCAGCUUGCCAACACCUUGAUUUUGGCCUUAUGACGCCCCAAGCUGAGAAACCAGGUUGGCCUUACAGGAAAUAAAAUUGUGGGCCUAUUUGGAUUCUUACAAAGCUGAAAAUAUACCUGUCCAGGCCAGUGCCAAUUUCUUGUUACUGCCUCUAGGACCAAGCUGUAGUCCCAAACAGACUACUCAAGAUCUGCUUCCAACAAGCUUGCUGCAGAGCCUAGUUCCAAUAUAAAAUUUCUGGAAUACAAAGCAGUAAUUUAAGAAACACCAUAAAAAGCAUCCUGAGACUUGUACCAGUGAGAAUCCAGCAGGUUUCCUUUGCCUGGGAAAUGCUGACUGCUGCCUCACUUAAGCUCCCUCACCAGAAAGGCACAGCCACUAAUGCUCAGAGCUGGGACCGUUCUCCUUCCUGUCUCCCGCCCCAGUCCCCUGCUGGGUGUCUGCACUCCACUCCACCAUACAUUGACCAGAGUGACCCUGAAGGCCCCUUUGGCUACCACAUGGAAGCUACUGCUACCACAUGAAAACGGCCUGCAAUGUGAGCACCACUCCUUCCAGGGUUUUUAAAAUUUCAAAUAAACAAUUUCCUUGUU